AGUGAACGCUGGCGGCGUGCCUAAUACAUGCAAGUCGAACGGAAUUUAAAAGAGCUUGCUCUUUUAAAUUUAGUGGCGCACGGGUGAGUAAUAUAUAGCUAAUCUGCCCCUUGCUGGAGGACAACAGUUAGAAAUGACUGCUAAUACUCCAUACUCCUUUUUACCAUAAGAUAAAUCGGGAAAGAAUUUCGGCAAGGGAUGAGACUAUAUCGUAUCAGCUAGUCGGUGGGGUAACGGCCUACCGAGGCUAUGACGCGUAACUGGUCUGAGAGGAUGAUCAGUCACAUUGGAACUGAGACACGGUCCAAACUCCUACGGGAGGCAGCAGUAGGGAAUAUUGCGCAAUGGGGGAAACCCUGACGCAGCAACGCCGCGUGGAGGAUGACACUUUUCGGAGCGUAAACUCCUUUUGUUAGGGAAGAAUAAUGACGGACCUAACGAAUAAGCACGGCUA
rnacentral:rRNA from 1 species